rnacentral:rRNA from 1 species
UGUGUAGGCGGUUGUUUAAGUUUGGUGUGAAAUCUCCCGGCUCAACUGGGAGGGUGCGCCGAAUACUGAAUGACUCGAGUGCGGGAGAGGAAAGUGGAAUUCCUGGUGUAGCGGUGAAAUGCGUAGAUAUCAGGAGGAACACCGGUGGUGUAGACGGCUUUCUGGACCGUAACUGACGCUGAGACACGAAAGCGUGGGUAGCAAACA